rnacentral:rRNA from 1 species
AGAGUUUGAUCAUGGCUCAGGAUGAACGCUAGCUACAGGCUUAACACAUGCAAGUCGAGGGGCAGCAUGGUCUUAGCUUGCUAGGGCCGAUGGCGACCGGCGCACGGGUGAGUAACACGUAUCCAACCUGCCGUCUACUCUUGGACAGCCUUCUGAAAGGAAGAUUAAUACAAGAUGGCAUCAUGAGUCCGCAUGUUCACAUGAUUAAAGGUAUUCCGGUAGACGAUGGGGAUGCGUUCCAUUAGAUAGUAGGCGGGGUAACGGCCCACCUAGUCUUCGAUGGAUAGGGGUUCUGAGAGGAAGGUCCCCCACAUUGGAACUGAGACACGGUCCAAACUCCUACGGGAGGCAGCAGUGAGGAAUAUUGGUCAAUGGGCGAGAGCCUGAACCAGCCAAGUAGCGUGAAGGAUGACUGCCCUAUGGGUUGUAAACUUCUUUUAUAAAGGAAUAAAGUCGGGUAUGCAUACCCGUUUGCAUGUACUUUAUGAAUAAGGAUCGGCUAACUCCGUGCCAGCAGCCGCGGUAAUACGGAGGAUCCGAGCGUUAUCCGGAUUUAUUGGGUUUAAAGGGAGCGUAGAUGGAUGUUUAAGUCAGUUGUGAAAGUUUGCGGCUCAACCGUAAAAUUGCAGUUGAUACUGGAUAUCUUGAGUGCAGUUGAGGCAGGCGGAAUUCGUGGUGUAGCGGUGAAAUGCUUAGAUAUCACGAAGAACUCCGAUUGCGAAGGCAGCCUGCUAAGCUGCAACUGACAUUGAGGCUCGAAAGUGUGGGUAUCAAACAGGAUUAGAUACCCUGGUAGUCCACACGGUAAACGAUGAAUACUCGCUGUUUGCGAUAUACAGCAAGCGGCCAAGCGAAAGCGUUAAGUAUUCCACCUGGGGAGUACGCCGGCAACGGUGAAACUCAAAGGAAUUGACGGGGGCCCGCACAAGCGGAGGAACAUGUGGUUUAAUUCGAUGAUACGCGAGGAACCUUACCCGGGCUUAAAUUGCAGAUGAAUUACGGUGAAAGCCGUAAGCCGCAAGGCAUCUGUGAAGGUGCUGCAUGGUUGUCGUCAGCUCGUGCCGUGAGGUGUCGGCUUAAGUGCCAUAACGAGCGCAACCCUUGUUGUCAGUUACUAACAGGUUCCGCUGAGGACUCUGACAAGACUGCCAUCGUAAGAUGUGAGGAAGGUGGGGAUGACGUCAAAUCAGCACGGCCCUUACGUCCGGGGCUACACACGUGUUACAAUGGCAGGUACAGAGAGACGGUUGUACGUAAGUACGAUCAAAUCCUUAAAGCCUGUCUCAGUUCGGACUGGGGUCUGCAACCCGACCCCACGAAGCUGGAUUCGCUAGUAAUCGCGCAUCAGCCAUGGCGCGGUGAAUACGUUCCCGGGCCUUGCACACACCGCCCGU